GAUGAACGCUGGCGGCGUGCCUAAUACAUGCAAGUCGAACGCUGGAGAUCUAGCUUGCUAGAUCGAAGGAGUGGCGAACGGGUGAGUAAUACAUAAGCAACCUACCCACGAAGACUGGGAUAAUCUCUGGAAACGGGGACUAAUACCGGAUAGGUAAUCGGAAGGCAUCUUCUGGUUAUUAAAGGUUAAAAACACUGGUGGAUGGGCUUAUGGCGCAUUAGUUAGUUGGUGAGGUAACGGCCCACCAAGACGAUGAUGCGUAGCCGGCCUGAGAGGGUGAAAGGCCACAUUGGGACUGAGACACGGCCCAGACUCCUACGGGAGGCAGCAAUAGGGAAUUUUCGGCAAUGGGGGCAACCCUGACCGAGCAACGCCGCGUGAGUGAAGACGGCCUUCGGGGUGUAAAGCUCUGUUGUAAGGGAAGAACGGUAGAUAGAGAAUAUCUAAGUGACGGUACCUGACCAGAAAGCCACGGCUAACUACGUG
rnacentral:rRNA from 1 species